GCUAGGCCCAGAGGGGGAAACUGUGAAGGAUGGAGAUUAUGUCGCUGGCAGGCAAGGGUGGUGGGUGAUGUCCAAGGGGGGGCACAGCCAUCCCUUCCAUCCUGCAUGCACGUUUGACGUGGGACUGUCCCACUCCUCCUGCUGUGAACUAAAUUGUGUCCCUGCAGACCUCAUACGCUGGAGCCCGAACCCCCAGUGACUGUUGAGAGACAGGGUCUUUCAAGGAGGUAACUGACGCUAAAGGACGACAUAAGUGUGGGGCUCUAAUCUGAUAGAGCUGGUGUCUUUAUAAGAAGAGGAAGAGAAACAAAGGAUCCAUCUCUCUCCUCUCUCUCUCUGUCUCUCUGUCUCUCUCUCUGUCUCUCUCUGUCUCCCUCUCUCUCUGUCUCUCUGCCUCUCUCUCUGUCUCUCUGCCCCUCUCUCGGUCUCUCUCUCAGAGAGCAGGCGAGCACACAGCAGGAAGGCAGCCACCUACAUGACCAGAACAGAAGUCUCACGGUACCUGGUCUGGGGUUUGUGCCCCCGGAACUUUGAGAGAACAAAUAUCUGUUACCCAAGCCCCAACCUGUCCUAUCUCAUCAGACAUAGGCCGCGAGGAGCCGGCUCCACCUCCUUCGGUGUGAGGCAGCUGCCUGGCCUGCCGAGACCCCACAGGGUGUCCAAAUCCGAGACUGCAACCUGCAUUCGCGCUGCACGAGUGGGGUGACCAGGAUGACCCUGGACAGUCAGAGACGAGCCAUCCAGCUGAACCGUGCCCGGCCAACCCUAGAACCGUGGCCGAACCACUUGGUUACUCCACAGACUGGAGGUGGGCUGGUGUGCGGAGCCGGAGGAGAUGGCGGUGCCACUGGGACGGGAGCAGGGCGACGGCGCAGGGCGACGGCUCGAGUGGGUGCAGCAGGAGGAAAGAAUACACAAUCUGAAGCUCUAUCUGAGGAUGAAGGCAAGCCAUGCCGUCUGAGGGACAAGAUGAAGUUCUGCGGUGCCUGUGAACCGUGAAGGAAGAGGCAGAAUUGACAAGUCACGUACAGUAUUGCUGAAAACAUUCCUUCGACAGUACUGGGUAGAACGGGGAGGUGCACGGCAGUCGUGAAAAUGUAAGCAAAAGAGGUUAAGUCCCAAAGACAUCUGACUAUCCUUUAUAGCUGAAGAAUCCGGACCCUAAUUACGCCCUAAUUGGGAAAAUAAAACAUGUUCCCCCUAAAAAAAAAAAAAAAAG
rnacentral:lncRNA from 12 species